CAUAGCGACUAUCGUGGCAUAUCAAUAAGCGGAGGAAAAGAAACUAACAAGGAUUCCCCUAGUAACGGCGAGUGAAGCGGGAAGAGCUCAAAUUUGAAAUCUUAAAGGUUUUCCCUUGACGAAUUGUAGUUUAAAGAAGUGUUUUCUGUUGAAGUUUUCGGUAAAAGUUCUUUGGAAUAGGACAUCAUAGAGGGUGAGAAUCCCGUAUUUGACCAUUACUUUUCCAGCUGUGUGAUACACUUUCAAAGAGUCGGAUUGUUUGGGAAUGCAGUCCAAAAUGGGUGGUAAAUUUCAUCUAAAGCUAAAUAUUGGCGAGAGACCGAUAGCGAACAAGUACCGUGAGGGAAAGAUGAAAAGAACUUUGAAAAGAGAGUUAAACAGUACGUGAAAUUGUCAAAAGGGAAGCGUUUGACACCAGUGUUGUUUAGUUGAAAAUCAAUUCAUAUUUGAUUUGUAUUGACUUCAUCAGCUUGCUGCUUUCUUUUCGGAAAUUAUUGAAUGCACUUUUCAGUUAACAAGUCAACAUCAAUUUCUUUUGUUGUAAAAGGGUAAGAGGAAGGUGGCUUACGCUUCGGCGUAAGUGUUUAUAGCCUUUUACCUCUGCAAUCGGAGAGAUUGAGGACAGCAGCGUAGACUCUUCGGGGUUAGAUACGCUUGUGCUAAGCUAUAGCCUUGUAUAGACAACUUGUUGACUAUGCUCAGUCAUGUAGCUUACUCGCUUGUGCUAUUUUACCUACGCUUAGGAUGUUGAUAGUCACAGCGUGUAC
rnacentral:rRNA from 1 species